rnacentral:tRNA from 1 species
GUCCCGGUUGCCGAUGGUGAGGCUAGCGGAUUCCAAACCCGCGAUUGGGUGUUCGAAUCACCCCCGGGGCGCCA